rnacentral:lncRNA from 1 species
AUAGCACCGGCUGUCUGCGGACCUUUCGCGGUCUGCAACAGCAAUUCACGCCCAUUAUUCUGUGACUGUAUGGAGACCUUCUCUCAGAAAUCGCCACUGGAUUGGGAGCUUGGUGAUCGAAGAGGAGGGUGUGCUAGAAAUACUCCCUUACAUUGCAUAACUAGCAACAAAAGCCAGACAAGUUCAACAGAUGUGUUCCACCCUAUACCUAAAGUUACAUUGCCUGGUAAUCCUCGGAGUAUAGAAGACGCUACCACGCAAAGCAAUUGUGAAGAAGCUUGUCUCAAUGACUGCUCCUGCACCGGUUAUUCAUAUGACAAUAGUAAAUGCUCUGUCUGGCACGGGGAAUUGCUCAAUGUAAAUAUGGACGAUGGGAUUGGUAUUUCUUCUCAAGAUGUUCUUUACCUUCGCCUGGCCGCAACCGAUUUUCAAAGUUUGAGCAAGAACAACAAAAGAAAACCAAGAGCUAUUAUUGCUGCAAGCAUUGUUAGUUUUGGGUUACUAAUGCUCAUGCUGUUAUUGUUGGUUUGGAGGACCAGAUUCAAGAGGUUCAAUGCAUCGUUACACGACAUUCCAGGUAGCGGUGGAAUUAUAGCCUUUAGAUAUACUGAUUUAGUCCAUGCUACUAAAAAUUUCUCAGAAAGGCUAGGAGGUGGUGGUUUUGGUUCUGUGUUCAAGGGAGUGUUAAGUGAGUCAACUACUAUUGCAGUGAAAAGGCUUGAUGGUGCCCGUCAGGGAGAGAAGCAAUUCAGAGCCGAGGUGAGCUCAAUCGGGUUGAUUCAACAUAUCAACCUAGUGAAAUUGAUUGGUUUCUGUUGUGAGGGUGAUAAGAGGCUACUUGUGUAUGAGCACAUGUCAAAUGGGUCUCUUGAUGCCCAUUUAUUUCAGAGCAAUGCUAUCAUCCUAAAAUGGAGCACAAGGUAUCAAAUAGCCAUAGGAGUUGCUAGAGGAUUAUGCUACUUGCAUGAAAGUUGCCGUGAAUGCAUCAUACACUGUGAUAUUAAGCCAGAAAACAUACUUCUCGACGCAUCAUUUGCUCCUAAAAUUGCAGACUUUGGGAUGGCAGCGUUUGUAGGGAGGGAUUUUAGCCGAGUUCUGACUACAUUCAGAGGAACCGCAGGGUAUCUUGCCCCGGAGUGGCUUAGUGGAGUUGCUAUUACACCAAAAGUGGAUGUUUACAGUUUUGGUAUGGUACUGUUGGAAAUCAUAUCCGGAAAGAGGAACACACCGGAAGUAAAUAGUAAGAGCAGUUAUCAGGUUGCGUUUUUCCCAGUGCAGGCCAUCAGCAAGCUUCAUGAGGGAGACCUGCAGAGUUUGGUGGAUCGACAGUUACAUGGUGACUUCGACUUGGAAGAGGCUGAAAGGGUUUGCAAAGUUGCAUUUUGGUGCAUCCAAGACAAUGAAUGUGAUCGGCCGACAAUGGGUGAAGUAGUCCGUGUUCUUGAGGGCCUUCAGGAGCUCAAUAUGCCCCCGAUGCCAAGACUACUUGCAGCUAUAACGGAACGCUCUGAUGCAGCUUCAAUGUAAUAAUUGCAGUUGAUGUUUAUUUUUGUUUCAGCAAAUUUGGAAGUUGUAUUUUGGAGCUGAAGGAAUAAAAGGACAAGCUUGCAAUAUCUAAUUGAGUUUUUUGGUGCAUGUGGUCUCCCAUUUGCCUAUUUACGUUACGCUGUUUUAGUGACUAACUCUAGCAAAAUACGGCAAAGCUAGAAAUAUGUGUCUGCAUAUUGAUGAAAAGAGUCAACAUAUAUCCUUAAAUUGAAGGAGCAUUUGAUGUAUGCCACUGCUGAUUGCUUGCCUUAGAGAUAUUCCACUUCUUCUCUGCAGGGUAUGUGUGUGCUGUCUGAGUUGUUCAGCUCUGUUAUCCGGGGCAGAGCAACUGUGAGCUUUUUUUUUCAGAGAUGUCAAAGUAACCCCGAGUUCGGUUCUCUGGUAGAAAGGAGCGGUUCCGCAAUUUUGAGGGAUUUUUUUUUUGCUGUCUCUGUACGUUCUUCAGAACCUCAGGAGGAGACUCUGUUUGUUACUUUGGGUGCCCUGAACGUUCAGAAUAAGACUUCUUCUGAGCCGCAUCUGAAGAUACAAUGCUAUCUCUGAACUCUGAAGAAUACUUCUCCUAUUCUCUUUCAGGGAAAUGUGCAGUUGUUCAGGUGUGAUGUGAUCUUGGUGGGCUGUAAAUUAUACAUUGUCCUAGGUGUGAAGAAUACCCCGUCAUAUAAACAGUCUUCAUCGAUGGAUGAUGCGUCCAGCACCAGACCGAAUUGUCCUGUCGCCAGACUGUUUCUUCUCGUCGCCGACUACAGUAUUUGCCUGGGUUUUUGGUUGAUGUGCCCAUCGUUACUGAACUGUCAGUUAGGCUCCUGCCUGUAGUCGUCGUCGUCCUCGAAACACCCUGACCAGCGCAAACCCGUUGGUUCACACCAUCUCCUGCCGAGCUCAAUGCCAGACAUCUUGACCCAUCCGGCCGCGCAUUCCGCGCAGCCCUGACGACUAUGAGCAUGUUACGCCAUGUUUGGUGUUCUCACCUGCAUAUCCGUGCCAGCUGAACAGCACACGGACCACACCUGCCGCCCGGUUUCAAGAAUAAACAGCAAGAAAGACUCAAGUUACUUUUUCCCUCAAUCUCCACCCUCUCUCCAACACGAUUUGGGGAUUUCAUAAGAUAAGGUUGAGGAUUUGGAAUGUAGUUAGAUGGAAGGACGAGGGACCUGGAAGUUAAGGUAGUUCUGUGGUUGGUGCUAGGGCGGCAAUGCGGCUCUCGCCUUCGCCGGUGAGGGUGGCGGAGGAUGGCCUACGGAGAAGGUGAAGGCAGAGGGAACUUACUCCAACAUGUUACCAUGGCGAGUGGGAGUGGUCAUGGAGGAUCUGGCGAUGGGGAGCCACCGUUUGAGGAAGAGGGGGGAGGCAGCAUGAUUUUAGUUUUAUUCUAAGUUAAACUUUUCCAAGUUAGUCAAGUUUAUGGAAAAAUUCAUCAAUACUGCACCAUCAAACUGGUUUCAUUAAAACCACCAAGAAAUAUGUUUAAAUGUGUAGAUGACAUGUUCAACAACAUCGACGCACCUAUGAUGACUAUCCAUCUCAAAUCUAUUUGCCCAGUUUAUUGUAGACAGUUCAUAGAUAUGAGCGUGUGUGCGCAAUAGUGAAUUUGUAUCAUGUUCUUUUUUUUAAAAGAGAAAGAGAAAGAUGUGUGAGAGUGAAAACUCUAUACCAUAUUUGGAUACUAAGACAUAUUAAGCUCUUUUACGGUACUACUAGUCAGUGGUAUGUAAGUAUCCAUUCAUUAUUAUGGAUAAUUCAUUAAUUAUUUUAUUGUAAAAAGUGAUAUUUCAAAUGAAAUGGUUUUUUAAACUUUAUGCUAGUGUCAAAAAUAAAAUUAUAGUGAUGCUAUUUGUGUUUUUUUUACCGUGAUACCCUUAUACUACCUAUACUACUCAUGUAUACUACUAAUAACACAUGUGAAGAUUUUAGUAAUAUACAAUUAAUCAUGAACAUCGAAUGUUUUUAUACUAAUUCUUCUCGAACACUGGUAUAGUUUAAUAUUGUGUACUGUAAAAUAGCUCUAUACUAAAUAGCCGCAUUUGUGAGAUACGUAAUACAUCAACUUAGGAUUAAUCCCAUAUGAGUAGAACCAUCCAAGUUUGUUUUCCUCGUACCCACUAAAGCAUUGUAUAAUCAUAAACAAUAGAGACGGGAGGGGAAUGAUUACCAUUAAAAAGCUUGCAGUGCCAAUAUAUUGCACGAGCAAGGAGCUAGCUAGCUUGAUGACAGAUUGCCUCGCACGAAUCGAGCACUACUACAUGUCAAGCAAGCCAGCCUGUUUGCCCUACCUAUAUCGGCUACUCUAUUUGUUGACCUUUUCUAUAUAUCCUGAUAACAUUGUAUGUUUUGUCUACACUGAUCACUUGGAGAUUUUUCUUUUGACGACGGGUGGCCUCUAGCGACCCCUUGCUAUCCCACGCGACAGCACCAUGCUGCUAGCCUGUUUCAUUGUACUGGAUCGACGACCUGCGCCGGGUCCUUCACGACAAGGCGUUUCCGUCAGGGACUCGAAGCCGCCGACGAGGGGUGAGGUCAACGGUCAACCACCGCGCUUACAGGGAUGCUCCCGGCUCGCCGUACUGUGUUCCUCGUCCGUCAACUGGACAUGAAUGCGCCCGUCCUCUGGUGCGUCACGUACAGUUAGCCUUCUUCUGUAUAUAUACACAUGAAGGCUCCUCUUCUCCGAAACAGCACAGCACAGCACCUGUCCGGCCAUGGCUCCCCUCUACAUAGUACUGCUGGUUGGGCUUAUUUCCUUGUCUUCGCCCCACAAUCCUUUCGGUUCCGCCGCGACGACGCCAAAUGGUGACACUCUCGCUGCAGGCCAGGCGCUUGCCGUCGGUGACAAGCUCGUCUCAAGAAACGGCAAGUUCGCGCUCGGCUUUUUUUCCGCUUCCGGCAAAGCCUCGCUGCCAUUGGUAAGUCCACCGACAAGAACACCACAAUCUCCUCCCCCGGAUGGUAUCUUGGCAUAUGGUUCGAUAAGAUCCCGGUUUGCACCCCCGUGUGGAUUGCUAACCGGGAGAGGCCAAUCGCCGAAUCCGAACUCAAGGCCACACGGCUCAAAAUAUCAACAGAUGGCGACCUCGUUGUCGCCAUCUUGCACAAUCAUACCAGGAUCAAAUCCAUAUUCUGGACCACUAAUGGCACUAUUGCCAAUAGAACAAGAAGUAGCAGUGUCGUUCUCAUGAACACCGGAAACCUUGCCGUCCUACCAAAAGCCCCAUCGAAUGGUGUACCAUUGUGGCAGAGCUUUGACUACCCAGCAGAUGUCGGGCUUCCUUCAGCAAAGAUAGGCUGGGAUAAGGUCAUCGGCUUGAAUAGGUUUGGCAUCUCUAAGAAGAGCCUAAUUGAUCCAAGUUUUGGCUCAUACUCAAUUGAAGUAGGCACUGAUGGGGCGUUGCGCCUUACAAGUCGCAUAUCCCGCUAUGUAGUGUAUUGGUCUUGGCCACCAGGAAAAUUAGCACAACUUGUACAAGUACUCGAUGGGUUGAUGGACUCGGAUCCACGGACCAAGGGUUUGCUUACACCUAGAUAUCAAGAAAAUGACCAAGAGGUGUACUUCUCGUACAACAAAACGGAUGAAUCAGCUUCUGUAUUCGUCGAAAUAGGCAUCUCCGGUCAGCUCAAGCUGAAUGUUUGGUCGCGAGCCAAAGAAUCUUGGGAAACUGUAUACGCCCAGCCUUCUAGUUUUUGCUCAGCAUAUGCUGUAUGUGGACCUUUCACGGUCUGCAAUGGCAAUUCGGGCCCAUUAUUCUGUGACUGUAUGGAGACCUUCUCUCGGAAAUCGCCUCGAGAUUGGGACCUUGGUGAUCGAACAGGAGGGUGUGUUAGAAAUACUGCCUUAGAUUGCAUAGGUAGCAACAAAAGCAAGACAAGUUCAACAGAUGUGUUUCACCCCAUAUCUCGCGUUACGUUGCCCUAUGACGAACAGAGAAUAGAAGAUGCUGCCACGCAAACUGAUUGUGCAGAAGCUUGUCUCAAU